rnacentral:rRNA from 1 species
UACGUAGGGGGCAAGCGUUGUCCGGAUUUAUUGGGCGUAAAGAGCGUGUAGGCGGCCUGAAAGGUCAGCUGUGAAAACUCGAGGCUCAACCUCGAGACGUCGGUUGAAACCAUCUGGCUAGAGUCCGGAAGAGGAGAGUGGAAUUCCCGGUGUAGCGGUGAAAUGCGCAGAUAUCGGGAAGAACACCCGUGGCGAAGCGGCUCUCUGGGACGGUACUGACGCUGAGACGCGAAAGCGUGGGGAGCGAACAGG